AGCCAGCGAAACGCAGCGGGCUGGAGCUGAUGAUGAAAGCGGCACGGCCCUGCGCGGACAGGCUCCUUUCCAUCCCCCGCAGCCACGGGCACACGGACACGCACCGAGCCCGGCUCUGCUGCGACCCCCGCCGGGUACCCCCGCGGGCCGGGGGCUGCGAUGGGGACGGCGCCGCAGGGAGGGGACCCGGCAGAGAGGCAGCGAUGGGAGGAAAGGCGCUGCGCUGGAAUCUCUUUAAGAAUAUAACACAAGAGACGUCGGUAUCCCAGCUGGAUAAUUCAUAAGAUGAAAAGCAACAGCAUUUCUUGGUGCGCCUGCUUUGGCAUACAUCAGCAUUUCCAUCGUCCAAGUGUCCUUUUGCGUCACAUCUCGCCAUUUCAUUCAGCCAAUGAAAUCUCCUUCUUGCAAUAAAAAUAUAGAGACUUUUUC